CAGCCGCCGCGGUAAUACAGAGGGUGCGAGCGUUAAUCGGAUUUACUGGGCGUAAAGCGUGCGUAGGCGGCUUCUUAAGUCGGAUGUGAAAUCCCUGAGCUUAACUUAGGAAUUGCAUUCGAUACUGGGAAGCUAGAGUAUGGGAGAGGAUGGUAGAAUUCCAGGUGUAGCGGUGAAAUGCGUAGAGAUCUGGAGGAAUACCGAUGGCGAAGGCAGCCAUCUGGCCUAAUACUGACGCUGAGGUACGAAAGCAUGGGGAGCAAACAGGAUUAGAUGCCCCUGUAGUCCCUGUCUCUUAUAC
rnacentral:rRNA from 1 species